rnacentral:lncRNA from 1 species
AAAAAAACCUCCCCCUUUUUUACAAAAUACUCAAUAACUCAAAAAUGAAAUUUUGAAUCAUCACCAAAAAGUAUACAGAUAUUGAGAUUAAUAUAAUUAAGAAGUAUUUAAAGUUUUAAGUCAUAGUCAAGAAUCGUUUUUGAGAUACAGUGCGACAUGUGAAAAAAACACACCCCUGUUUUAGUUAUAAAGUGACGUAACUCAAAAAGUUUAAAUCUUAUUUUCACCAAAAAGUAUACAGAUCAUUUGACUAUCAUAAGAAACAACUAUAUUAAGUUUCAUGAAAUUUGGAUAAGUCGUUCUCAAGUUACGGUGCGACAUGUUUACGCCGGACAGACGGACAGACGGACAGACGGACAGACAGACAGACAGACGGACGGACACCGGACAUUUGUAUACCAUAAUACGUCCCGUCAAAAUUUUGACGGGCGUAUAAAAAUGCGACAGGGUUAUAAUUGUAAUAAUUUAAACUCGCAUUUUGAAAUUUUUUAUAUGAAUCAAAC